rnacentral:lncRNA from 1 species
UCUUUGAAGGAAGAUUUGACUCAGAAUUUACUGAUAUUUGAAGACUUAUUUCAUACUGGUAUUUCUGGCACAUGUCUAUGUUUAUUUCUUCCUACAUGUUGCCUUUUUUUUUUUUUUUUUUUUUUUUUUGUCCUCACCAGGAGAUGGAGUCUUUCUCUGACAACUUUGAUAUAAAUAAAUAGGAUCUGGAACCCAAAGUCCUGGCAGUCUAAACAAAGAGUAUAACUACAUGUGCAGUGAUGGGAAAACACACUGGUAGCGUAAUACUGGAAUCGAGAGGAGACAUCAGUCAGGUGGGCUGGUGCAUUUUUUCUCCACUGUGAGUAUGCACCUGUGUUCAUUUCACCAUUGAAAGACCAAAAUAUUCCUCUGCGUGCCAUUGCGUGCUGUGCUGCAACUCUUUCCUCACCCACUGUACUGCACAAUGGUGGUACUCUGCUUUGUCAAGGGGAACCUCUACCCGGAUACAAAACUAUACAAAUGAAUUAUGAAACAAAACAGGGAGUACUUUAUCAAGCAAAGAGGCAUUAUCCUCCUGUUGUGUGAAGGUGAGACUAAAUUAAAUGCGAUAACAAAGAGCAGUUGCAACUCUUCAUUGCCGUUAGAGCAAUUCAGUGUUGCAGAAUUAAGAAUCACUUAAGAAUCUGUUUAAAAGUUGUGACUGCACCUUAACUGGAAUAAGGGCAAAGUAGGAGACUGAGACAGUCCUCUUCCUUUUCACGAGGUGCGCUUUCAAAUACUGUUAUGCAAUCUGAAUGAGAGUCCUUUAGUGAAUUGUGCUUCUGCCCUGUAGCUGGAAUCCAUACCACGAAACACUAAAUAUGGAUAAAUGAAAAUAAGAGUUAUCAUUUCCCUGAUGAGAUGAUAGAGUCCCAGCUGAAUAAGGGAUUUGGCAAAAGGAUUGUGGUGAGAACACUGUAAUGAGUUCAGAACAUCCUCGUGGCACAGCUCAGGUCUAGCACAGUGCUUAGUCACGUGGUGUGGGUCAUUGGACAAACAUUUUGGAAACCUUAGUAUUUGAAAUAAGGCUAGACUGUGUUUUUCCAAAGCAUUUGCGUUGGAUUUGGAAUGAAAUGACUCCUUAAGAGGUGUUUGCAGCACUUGAGCUGGAGUUGUCAGACUUAAG